GUAUGAUACUAUUUCGACUUCCUGCGAUGUCGAUGAAGAAACAAAUUGACCUACGAGGUAAGACAGCUCCCCAACAUUUUGCACACGGAAAACCUUGUCACAUAGGUUGAGAAAACCCCCCGCAAAAAAAAAAAAAAAACAUAGGUUGAGAAAACCCUCAAACCCUUGUCUCACUCUUACACUGCGGCAUCGUGACCUGUGUGAGAACCAACAACUAGGCCAUGCCUUAGGCCCGUGAUUGUCGCAAGGGACCGAUGA
rnacentral:lncRNA from 1 species